rnacentral:rRNA from 1 species
GACGAACGCUGGCGGCGUGCUUAACACAUGCAAGUCGAACGGAAAGGCCCUGCUUUUGUGGGGUGCUCGAGUGGCGAACGGGUGAGUAGCACGUGAGUAACCUGCCCUUGACUUUGGGAUAACUUCAGGAAACUGGGGCUAAUACCGGAUAGGAGCUCCUGCUGCAUGGUGGGGGUUGGAAAGUUUCGGCGGUUGGAGAUGGACUCGCGGCUUAUCAGCUUGUUGGUGGGGUAGUGGCUUACCAAGGCUUUGACGGGUAGCCGGCCUGAGAGGGUGACCGGCCCCAUUGGGACAGAGAUACGGCCCGGACGCUUACGGGAGGCAGGGGGGGGAAAUUUUGCGCAAGGGGCGGAGGCUAGAGGAAGCACCCCCGGGGGGGGGAUGACGGCCUUCGGGUGGGAACCGCUUUUCGCCUGUGAGGAAGCGGGGGGAGGGGAAAUGGGGAAAAAGCCACCGGUUAACUAGGG